CAUCACAUGAAGGAGAUUAUUCCAAGUAGUGAUAACUUCAAAUCCCUAGGAUGAGCUAACAAAUGGCUCAGCUCAGGAAAGGAAAAAGAAACUUAACCACUGACAUUCUGUGGCAAGAAGAUUUUGCAUGUCAGGCUUAGUCAGCACCUACUCAGACAAGGAGCUGUAGGAGGAUCAACUUGCUAGGUCAGAUUGUCCUGCUCUCAGAGACUUUGGGAGUUCACUUUUCUUGUGCAGGCAGACAUAAGCAGUACUGUACAGUAGAGGUGUGCGAGUCCAGCAUAUUAAGAUUCGAGUCCAGACUCGAGUAUCUGCUCUGGACUCGAGUAAUUACUCGAGUAAUUACUCGAGUCCCACGGCUCUUAAGACUCGAGUUAUUACUCGAGAAAUAGUAUCCCGAAAGGGAAUUUUAGUGGGUUUCAAAAAAGUGUAGAUCUAGAAUUCUGUGGUUUACACUGGGUAUCACAUCACGGUAAACGCACACAUGAAGAGAAUAGCCAAAAGGCUUGCUCUCUCACCCCGGGUGAGUGAGAAGCUUACAACUGUAUAACAACUAAGCUAGAAUAGAAGUAGUCUUCAUCUUAUCUUAUCUUAUUAUUUAAAAAAAAAAAAAA